UACAGAGGGUGCGAGCGUUAAUCGGAAUUACUGGGCGUAAAGCGUGCGUAGACGGUUUCGUAAGUCGGGUGUGAAAGCCCCGGGCUCAACCUGGGAAUUGCAUUCGAGACUGCGUAGCUAGGGUGCGGAAGAGGGAAGCGGAAUUUCCGGUGUAGCGGUGAAAUGCGUAGAUAUCGGAAGGAACACAGUGGCGAAAGCGGCUUCCUGGUCCAGCACCGACGUUCAGGCACGAAAGCGUGGGGAAGCAAACAG
rnacentral:rRNA from 1 species